rnacentral:rRNA from 1 species
UAAUAACAUGUCAAGUCGAGCGACCGCGUUAAGAGCUUGCUCUUAUGAACUAGAGCCGGACGGGGGAGAAACGCGUGGGCCACCCGCCCCUACACGGGGAUAACUCCGGGAAACUGGGGUUAAUCCCGGAUAACCUUUUGAAGCGCAUGGUGGGAAAUUGAACCGCGGCUUCCGCUGUCACUUAUCGAUGGACUCGCUUCUCAUUAGCGGGUUGGUGAGGCACCGGCUCAACAAGGCAACGAUGCGUAGACGACAUGAGACGGCGAUCGGCCACACUGAAACUGACACACCUCCCACACUCCUACGGGAGGCAGCAUUACGGACUCUGCCGACCUGGACGAAACCCUGACGCCCCGUCUCCGAAUGACGCCUGAAGGCUUUCGGGUCUUAUCACUCUGUAGUUAGGGAAGAACAAGUGCUAGUUGAAUAAGCUGGCCCCUUGACAGAACAUACCCAGAAACCCUCGGCUACCUCCGCGCCAGCAACCGCGGUCGUACGUAUGUGGCAAGCGUUAUCCGGAAUUAUUGCGCGCACAGCGCGCGCAUAAGGUUUCUUAAGACCGAUGCGCACUCCCACGGCUCACCCCUUCAGGGUCAUUGGAAACUGGGUCUACUUGAGUGGGGAAGACUAAAGUGGAAUUCCAUGUGUAUGCGUGAAAUGCGAAGAGAAUUGGAGGAGCACCCGUGGCCCAGGCGACUUACUGGUCUGCUCAUGACACUGAGGCGCGAGAGCAUGGGGAUUAAAUACCAUUGGAUCCCCCGCUAUACACGCCGUAAUGAUGAGUGUUACCCGUUAAGAGGGUGUCCCCCUUUAAUGCUCAAAUUACGCAUCAGGGCUCCGACUGGCGAGAAUGACAUUACGAUGACUCUCACAGGCACUCGACGGAGCCCGGAACACGUGGGGUAUCAUGUGGCUUACUUCGAAGCACUUCACAGACUCUUACCAGGUCUGAAUUCUGCUGAUACCCUAGAGAUCCGGCGUCUCUUCGAGCAGCGGAGUGUCAUGGUCGUGCAUGGCUGUGUCAGC